UACAGAGGUCUCAAGCGUUUGUUCGGAUUCAUUGGGCGUAAAGGGUGCGUAGGUGGCAUGGUAAGUCGGAUGUGAAAUCCCGGGGCUCAACCCCGGAACUGCAUUCGAUACUGCUGCGCUAGAGUACUGGAGAGGAGAUUGGAAUUUACGGUGUAGCAGUGAAAUGCGUAGAUAUCGUAAGGAAGACCAGUGGCGAAGGCGGAUCUCUGGACAGUACUGACACUGAGCAGCGAAGGCCAGGGAGCAAACG
rnacentral:rRNA from 1 species